UUUCUGCAAUUUAAUUUUAUUUAUUUGAAAAUUUUUACUCACUAAAUUUCUAUUUUAAUGAAAAAUGAGGAAAGAGAAAGUAUCUAAAAAGAUGGAUACGCUGCUCAUUUCGUCUACUCUCUCACUUUCUCUUUUUCAUCCAUUUCCUACUCACUCUGUCUCCCCCAACUCUGGGCCAUGCUAGAUCUGCCCCUUCUUUCAAUAUUUGAAAACCAAGAAGCUAAUUUUAAUUUGAAUCAUGUUGCGGUACGACUCCACCUCGUCAUCAGCGGGAAGUAGCAGUGGCAGCUUAUCAUCCUCCUCCUCCUCCUCCAAGCCACCGCAGCAAGAUAUUGAUGGACUGCUCGCCGGUGCUGGUUAUAAAGUCCGGUCGUCGGAGCUACGACAAGUAGCUCAGCGACUGGAACGACUC
rnacentral:lncRNA from 1 species